rnacentral:lncRNA from 1 species
AACUAAAGAAUCAAGCGGUUGCAACAUUCAUCUCUGUCGAGGGUGUCUGACUCAGUGUUAUAGUGCAAAAUGAUUAAUAUGGUGAUUAUUACUUCAAGGAAAUGAUAAAGAAAUGAUUUGGUGUUACAGUGUUGGACCCUAAAUCAAUUGUACGCUGUACAAUUGACUCGAGUGGAAAUCACUGCAUAGUCAAUCUAACCUCUUAAAAUUAACCAUUUUUUAAAUUUAACAGACUGACGGAGUUAAAAGUGACGGGUGCUGCAGCUCAUCAUGACGCUGAGGUUCAUUUCUUCUCUCUGCAGAGUUUCCACAAUAAUCUGAAUAUCUGUGUUUUUAAUAUUUCAUGUUUUCUGCUUCCUGAGACCCCCUGACAUCCCUCCACUGUUUGUGCACAUUAAUGAGAUAUUCUUGCCUUUGCACAGCGAUGAACUCCAAACAGGAUCAGAGAGCGGCGCCACACUGUGACUCUAAUCAUGUCGUCUGCUGUAUUAAGGAUCGAUGCGCUCUGUGUCACAUUUCAUGCAAGUGAUGUGAGUUGUCACCGACCUGAGGUGUGACCAAGUGUGAAGAUUAGUCAGAGAUGUGAGUAUGAAGUUACCAUGGACACACGAAACGGUCUGCACGCUGACGCAAAUCCUCAAGGAUCUGACUGCUGAAUUUAUGUCCACGCUCUUGAGGUUGUCAACCAUCGUCUGAUGACGGUUUGAACAAUCAGCUGGACUGAAGUUUGCUGAACAAAUCGGUGAGGCAGAUUGGUAAAAAGUUAAAAGUUAAAAGUAAAACUUUGUCAGGUCAAGAGGAGAAGAAAACAACUUUUAAAAUGUUUGUUAAUUGAAGUUCAGAUUGAUGCGUUCAAGGACAUCAGGAAACCUUAGAGCUGAUUGGCUGAUUGGAUUUGAUGUGUUUGAUCCAGAACAGAUUGUGAGAUUGUGUCCCGUCUGCUUUUGCUCUCCAUACAGACUGAUUUUCCAGAGUAUCCGGAGUAGAGAUUCUUCAUUUUUGUAUUAUUUCUAAGAGUUUGAGCCUUAAACGCCUAAACUGAGCAGAGAAACUUUGAACAUUUUGUGUUUUAGGCAGAAAGUUUUAGAGAUGGAUGGUUGGAGCAAUUAGAGAGCUGAAGAGACAGGAGAGGGAAUUACAAAAACAACAAAACCAAAGGUCCAAAAUGAAACCCUGACGAUCAGAAUAAACUUUAUUUUUUUAGGCUCCUGUAGGAAAUAUCGUCUGCUGUUGGGGAGAGUUUGUAGCCUCUGAUAAAUGAAUACAAAAGAGCAAAAACGAAGAUGAAUUUUUAUUCAAAAGACUCAAUUUUAUUCAUUUAAUUCGAGAUGCAUUAAUGAAGGACUGCAGAGGGCUCCAUCCUCGAUUGUUCAUCGGUACAGAUUAUUUUCUCUCCACUUUUUCUCUUCGUUUCCUCUCCUGAACUCCUUCCCUUGACCUUCUCUGUCGUAUUUUUUCUGAUACAGUCAACAUUCAUCAAACCGCUGAGCCCUAUAAUAAAAACUUCAGCACAAACAAAAAGGACACGUCUGUUCCUGAGAGGUUUCUGCACAGCGUCUCAAAAUAAAUCUACAACACCGAACAGAGGAGCCACAACUUUGUCUUUUGUUCAGCUGGAGUUACGGUCUCUGGAGUUUCUAGAGUUUUCUGUUUGUAGUCGGAGAUGUUUGGACAAAUCAGGUGUGAGGAAACUUUAAUGUAUGCAGCAAAAAUCGGAGGAAAAGAUUCUGCCAGGAUGAGCUCCUGGUUUUUAUUGGCGGUGAUUUAGUCAGCUAUGGAAACAGAAAUCUGCAUGUAAACACAGAGAGAUAAUCUUCCCCAGAUUAAACAUUUACACUGAGACAAAAAAUCUGCUUUACGCUGCGACGCAGAAACAUUCGAGCAAAACUCAAAUCUACACACAGAUUCAUAAACCUCACUUCAUGUGAGAUCAGACACCAGAACUUCCUUUAGAUUAGUCAUGCAAAAUCAAAACUGGAUCCAAAAGCAAAAAAAGUUAACACUUUUCAUGUGAGAAACUUUUGAUUCAUGUCGACUUUGGCGCCCCCUGUGGCUGUAGCAGUGCCUCUUAGUGAUGGGCACGGCAGUUCUCUUAGAUGUACUGAAUCACUAGAAUCAGUUCACUAGAAAGAUUUGUUCAAAAGAUUCGUUCACCAAAUCACCGAAUCAUGUAGCGUUUGCCGGGAGAAGUCUGCGACUCCGACCUCCUGAACUGAUCCACAGCUGAGCGGUUCAGGAUUCAGUUCAGAUCAGAGCUUCUGGGACUGAGAGACGAGAGUGUUUGUCUGUGUUUCUUUGGCAAACAGGUUUGUAAAAAUGAACUUGAUGUUUUAAGUGUACUGUCCUAUGGUUUGCUGUUUAUCAGGUCUGCUCGGUAAAUUGGGCUCAGUGAGUGAUUCGUUCACUGAAUGUUUAGAAGAAUUCACACUGAACCGUUCCCUCACAAACCGCUGCAAUGAUCGGAUGCUGCAGGUUUGAUGAACUACUUUUUUCAUGCUGUGUCCUAUUGUAUGCAAGUUGUUGUGGUGGCAAUUUAGCAGUAAAAAAAAAAGUUAGUUUUGUCCGAGAAAAAUCAUCCCAGAGAGUGAAGUUCAAUGCGUGAUUCGUUCAUUGAGUGAUUCAGGCGUCGGUGUAUGUGGUCCCCUCGUUCACGGGCUGUUCGACUGGCAAUGCUGCUUCUAAACUGAAGUGAGAAACGAACAAAUCAUUCAAAGUGAUUCUGUUCAGUAUGUUUACUUAAAAGAUUCGGUUCUUUUGAACGAAUCGUUUGCAAACGACACAACACUAGCACCUCUUACACCUUUGCUGAUCUUGUUUUGCGCACGUGUAGGAAGCUGAGAGAAAUCCCAGAGUUGUUGGAAAGAGAAGAGCGAUGAGAACGCUCAAAUAUCGAGAAGCUCUGCUGCCUUAAAAGUAAAAAAGAGAAAUCUUGAGUGAAUCUGACACCGAGAAAGGGAACAACAAACAGGAUCACAGUUUGGAGCAGAUAAAUGUGUCCCCGGCUGAUCUUGUUGUCCACUUUGAUUUUCUGUCCUCUCUGUCUCAAUGCAGGCGAUUUUAGACACAAAGUUAAAGUAAAACUGAUGAAAUGAAACGACAAAAGCGGUUAUUCAGUUCAUAAAGUGACGCCUGGAGGAGAAAGAGGAGGAGGGAGAAUUUGUCCCGAGUAAAAUGGCUGUAGGGCCAUUUUUCUUUUUUUAAUCUCCUAUUUCAGGACCAAAUUGUGUGCUGGUGUCGUAAAGUAAACUCGGUCGUCCUCUAACUCUGAGGUGAAAUUUUCUCAUUCCUGUCAGACCCCUGUUACUUUAGUCCGUAGCCCCCAAAGGAUCAGAUAAAGCGGCUCCCCUGAGGAAAAAGAUCGAACCAUAACUCUGUCUUCUGUAUUCUCCUGAGACUCUCUUCCUCUUCACAUACUCCUCAAAUACUUCUCACACGUCGUAGCAUCAUUGAUUAUGUUAAUUUGUUUUCCAGAAGACUCCGGUCAUGAUUGGGAUGAAGUUUGGAUUCAUGAUGCAGCCCUCCUUCACCAGAAACCCUUUAAGAAAAGUUGUCUGCUGUAUUUUUCAUCCUGCAUCUGCAUUUUGGACUCUUGUAAUGACCACAGGGAGUGUUUAUAUCAUCUCCUCCAUCUCCUGCAGUAACAUUUCAUCCACAGGAGCGGCUCUCCUGACUCUUCUCAGCACCUCUCUGACAGGCUCUUCAUAAAAUAAAUAUCUGCAGUAAUUUCCAUGGAAACGUUUGCAGUUUUCCCUCGUGUCCGUUUCUUCUGGACUGCAGCAGAGGUGGUGAUGGACUGCCUGGAGUUCAUUCAUGGAGACGUGAAAUCAGACAGGCUGUUUUAAAGACAGGCUGAACAAUCAUCAGUUCAUGUUCAGCAUCUAUGAUCUGAUGUUCACUGACUGUCUUUGACAUGAAGUUUGACUCUCAGCUGUCGUCUGUGUUUGCAGUUAAUUAAAAAGUCACAUUAAAGUGGUGUGAAAGGGUUAGGUUUUAGAAGUAAUAAGAGUGAGUUUUCAGUCUUUUCUGUUUCUAAAGUCUAAAAGACACUCAGGGAAGAAAUAAAGACUCUGACAUUGAAGAGUUUAAAGCCGGUUAUAACAGAUUAAAACUGAUAAUGGCGUCUAAAAUGGAGGUCAGAUGGAGGGAACUUUUAUUCUUGUCAUUAUUUAUCAUUUUUUCAGGUGUAUUUCCGGGCUGAUUCCCUCUUUUUUGGAGAGGUCAGGAGCUGGAAAUAGAAAGAGAGAGAGGGGCAGGCAUGCACACAGACGACUCGUGUAUUCUUCAGGGUGAUGCACUGAUUUUUAGACUUGUCUGUUACUAACAUCGCUCACACAUGCACAGGACAAAGGACCUAAAAGAUAGAAGACUCUGCCUUGACCGGUGGUGCCAUCAGUUCUGUUAGUUUGCAUCUGCAAAAGUUAAAAAAAAAAAAAAAAAGUCCUUUCCUUUUGGAGCAACAGUCUAUGUGCUGCCCCCUGCUGACUGUGGCGAGUUUCAGUCAUGAGCUUUUAGAGUUUUUUUUAAAUAUUUAUUUAUUGUGUUUCUUAUAUCCAAUCCAGGUCUAUCUAUCUAUCUAUCUAUCUAUCUAUCUAUCUAUCUAUCUAUCUAUCUAUCUAUCUAUCUAUCUAUCUAUCUUUCUAUCUAUCUAUCUAUCUAUCUAUCUAUCUAGGUUCAGAGAGAGAGGAGACAUGGUGCUGAUAUUUCUGUAAAGCCUUUUACCAUCAUAAAGUCAGAAUCUGCAAGUAAAUCUACAUCAAAAACAUGUUUGAAAGUUUGAUUUAUUGACAGAGAAGAUAAAUGCCCUCGAGCUGCAGUAAAAACUUCAUGUUUCCUUCUUGGAUUCAGCUCCUCAGACAGAUCUCUGUAUUCUCCUCUCAUUUAGUUUUGAUGUUCACAGUCCAUCCUGCUCUAACUGGGGUUACAGUUCAGUCAGUUUAAUGAAAACUAGAGUUGAUGAAGCGGCCAAUCAUAGUUCAGGAUUUCAGGGUGUCCAAUUAAAUUUUAGGGAGGGGCAUCGGCACCCUAACAGCCACCCCUGCCUCCAUCUCUGAAUGCUGAGUUAUCACUUACAGUAUAGAUGCUUAAGCAGCUCUCUCUCUCUCUCUCUCUCUCUCUCUCUCCUCCUCCUCCUCCUCCUUUUCUCUCUCUCUCUCUCUCUCUCUCUCUCUCUCUCUCUCUCUCUCCUCCUCCUCCUCCUCCUCCUCCUCUCUCUCUCUCUCUCUCUCUCUCUCUCUCUCUCUCUCUCUGUCAGUCCUCUUCGUACCUCCGUACCUUUCCCUCCUCUCCCGGUCCUCUUCUUGGAUUUAAUGGAAACCCGGACGUGCUCGGACUCUAUCGGCCAGUUCUGGAUCCAGUUUUUAUCCGGACUUCAUCUGUAACCCUGCUGAAGUUAUCUCUGCUUUAUCUGAAGGUUUUUUUUACUACAGCAGACAGACGGACACAGAGGGACUCUGAGGAGAACUGAGGUUAGUAAGAGGAAUGAUGGUCGGUUUACGCAGACCGGGAUUAAAGUUUGGUGCGUGUUUUCACAGGAUUGUAUGAAACAUCAUCUGGAUUAUUAGGCUUGUUAUAAAUAAAUAGAUAGAUGUAUCUCCUCUCUCU